rnacentral:ncRNA from 1 species
AACUUUAAGUAUUUCGUUAGGCAAUUAAAGCGGUACAUGGAUGAAAAAGAAUUACUUAAGAUUUAUUACAAAACUCCAUCUACUUCAACAUUCUGUUACAUAGGUUUUAUCGCAAGGAUUGAUGGAAAUAAUAUUAUUCUAAAAAGUGUUGAAUUCGACUACGUAAAAGAUGAGGUGCAGGAAUGGAAAUUGACGGACCGGGAAAUUCCCAUCCAGCAUAUCUUAAUCGGUGCCAUGGAGGAUGCCGAGAAGGAAGUUAUUGGCGAAUGGAUUGAAAAAGAAAGCGGAAUAAAACUGCAUUAAACAAUAGAGGAGAAAGGUUUCCUUUCUCCUCCUUAUUCCAGUUACUAAUAGGUUGAUGAUAUAGUCCGAUCUUUGCAGUAAUGCAAAGAGUUAGGCAGAAAUGUCCUAACCGUUGUGAAGAACAACAGUAACAAAUUGUAGAUACCCUUGUAUUCCACGCUGUAAACGAUGAAUACUGGCUAUUUGAAGUGUCGACCCUUCAAGUGGCGAAGCUAACGCGUUAAGUAUUCCGCCUGGGAAGUACGACGGCAACGUUAAAACUCAAAGGAAUAGACGGGGAUUCACACAAGCGGUGGAUCAUGUGGCUCAAUUC